rnacentral:tRNA from 3 species
GGAAUGGUAGCUCAGUGGUAGAGCAAUCGACUGCAGUUCGAUAGGUCAUGGGUUCAAUUCCCAUUCGUUCCU